CGGGGGGACUCCUACGGGAGGCAGCAGUGGGGAAUAUUGCACAAUGGGCGCAAGCCUGAUGCAGCCAUGCCGCGUGUAUGAAGAAGGCCUUCGGGUUGUAAAGUACUUUCAGCGGGGAGGAAGGGAGUAAAGUUAAUACCUUUGCUCAUUGACGUUACCCGCAGAAGAAGCACCGGCUAACUCCGUGCCAGCAGCCGCGGUAA
rnacentral:rRNA from 1 species